rnacentral:rRNA from 12 species
GGAACCUGCGGAAGGAUCAUUACCGAGAG